AAUUUUGUUUUGACCUACUUCUUCAAGGGCAGCACAAACAUCAACGCAUCUUGUAUUCCAUUCAGUUUUCUUCAAUCUGUAGGCCAUCUUAACAAGUUCCAAAACCUUUUGGAAUUCUAUGUCGUCUGUGUGGAAAUCAGGAACUAAAGACUUGAAGUCUUCUGGGUUUCCAAUAAUUGUAUUCACCUCAAUCUGCGAAGAUACAAUAACAUUACAAAUCUUGAGAAAGCAGAACUUCAAAUCUCAAAACCAUUUAAAGAAUUCUGUAAAUAGACAAAAGCUUACCUCAGAAACAUCAUUUACAAGGUUUACGAUCUUGAAAAACUCUGGAGUAGUAGUGCUUUUCCACUUCAAUAUCAAUGGAUAUUCAGAUUGGAAUUCGUUAUCUUUAACUCCAUAUGCUGCACCAAAUGCUGGAACUGCGCUCAACACCCAUAUUGUUAGCGCUAGUCCAAAUCCUCUCAAAUCAUAUUUCUCUUUUGCCCAAGUUUUCUCGUCCAUUCUCAGAAUUGAAUUUGAUAGAACACUGAAUGCUUCUUUACCC
rnacentral:sRNA from 1 species